GACGAACGCUGGCGGCGUGCCUAACACAUGCAAGUCGAACGCAGUGGGGACGGGUGAGUAACACGUGGGUAACCUCCCAUCAGAGGGGAUAACACUUGGAAACAGGUGCUAAACCGAUACUGAUUGAUGGACCCGGGGUGCAUUAGCUAGUUGGUGAGGUAACGGCUCACCAAGGCCACGAUGCAUAGCUGACCUGAGAGGGUGAGCGGCCACACUGGAACUGAGACACGGCCCAGACUCCUACGGGAGGCAGCAGUAGGGAAUAUUCGGCAAUGGACGAAAGUCUGACCGAGCAACGCCGCGUGAGUGAAGAAGGUUUUCGGAUCGUAAAACUCUGUUGUUAGAGAAGCGGUAUCUAAACAGAAAGCAACGGCUAACUACGUGCCAGCAGCCGCGGUAAUAC
rnacentral:rRNA from 1 species